rnacentral:rRNA from 1 species
AGAGUUUGAUCCUGGCUCAGAUUGAACGCUGGCGGCAGGCCUAACACAUGCAAGUCGAACGGUAACAGGAAGCAGCUUGCUGCUUUGCUGACGAGUGGCGGACGGGUGAGUAAUGUCUGGGAAACUGCCUGAUGGAGGGGGAUAACUACUGGAAACGGUGGCUAAUACCGCAUAACGUCGCAAGACCAAAGAGGGGGACCUUCGGGCCUCUUGCCAUCAGAUGUGCCCAGAUGGGAUUAGCUUGUUGGUGAGGUAACGGCUCACCAAGGCGACGAUCCCUAGCUGGUCUGAGAGGAUGACCAGCCACACUGGAACUGAGACACGGUCCAGACUCCUACGGGAGGCAGCAGUGGGGAAUAUUGCACAAUGGGCGCAAGCCUGAUGCAGCCAUGCCGCGUGUAUGAAGAAGGCCUUCGGGUUGUAAAGUACUUUCAGCGGGGAGGAAGGUGUUGUGGUUAAUAACCACAGCAAUUGACGUUACCCGCAGAAGAAGCACCGGCUAACUCCGUGCCAGCAGCCGCGGUAAUACGGAGGGUGCAAGCGUUAAUCGGAAUUACUGGGCGUAAAGCGCACGCAGGCGGUCUGUCAAGUCGGAUGUGAAAUCCCCGGGCUCAACCUGGGAACUGCAUUCGAAACUNGGCAGGCUUGAGUCUUGUAGAGGGGGGUAGAAUUNCCAGGUGUAGCGGUGAAAUGCGUAGAGAUCUGGAGGAAUACCNGGUGGCGAAGGCGGCCCCCUGGACAAAGACUGACGCUCAGGUGCGAAAGCGUGGGGAGCAAACAGGAUUAGAUACCCUGKUAGUCCACGCCGUAAACGAUGUCUACUUGGAGGUUGUGCCCUUGAGGCGUGGCUUCCGGAGCUAACGCGUUAAGUAGACCGCCUGGGGAGUACGGNCCGCAAGGUUAAAACUCAAAUGAAUUGACGGGGGCCCGCACAAGCGGUGGAGCAUGUGGUUUAAUUCGAUGCAACGCGAAGAACCUUACCUGGUCUUGACAUCCACAGAACUUUCCAGAGAUGGACUGGUGCCUUCGGGAACUGUGAGACAGGUGCUGCAUGGCUGUCGUCAGCUCGUGUUGUGAAAUGUUGGGUUAAGUCCCGCAACGAGCGCAACCCUUAUCCUUUGUUGCCAGCGGUCCGGCCGGGAACUCAAAGGAGACUGCCAGUGAUAAACUGGAGGAAGGUGGGGAUGACGUCAAGUCAUCAUGGCCCUUACGACCAGGGCUACACACGUGCUACAAUGGCGCAUACAAAGAGAAGCGACCUCGCGAGAGCAAGCGGACCUCAUAAAGUGCGUCGUAGUCCGGAUUGGAGUCUGCAACUCGACUCCAUGAAGUCGGAAUCGCUAGUAAUCGUGGAUCAGAAUGCCACGGUGAAUACGUUCCCGGGCCUUGUACACACCGCCCGUCACACCAUGGGAGUGGGUUGCAAAAGAAGUAGGUAGCUUAACCUUCGGGAGGGCGCUUACCACUUUGUGAUUCAUGACUGGGGUGAAGUCGUAACAAGGUAACCGUAGGGGAACCUGCGGCUGGAACACCUCCUUACC